UACAGAGGGGGCAAGCGUUGUUCGGAAUUACUGGGCGUAAAGGGCGCGUAGGCGGCCUGUUAAGUCGAACGUGAAAUCCCCGGGCUCAACCCGGGAACUGCGUCCGAUACUGGCAGGCUUGAAUCCGGGAGAGGGAUGUGGAAUUCCAGGUGUAGCGGUGAAAUGCGUAGAUAUCAGGAGGAACACCGAUGGCGAAGGCAGGUCUCUGGGCAUUAACUGACGCUGAGGAGCGAAAGCAUGGGGAGCGAACAGG
rnacentral:rRNA from 1 species